GGUGUGUUGUGCUGUUGAUUGUACUAACCGACCGACAAAGGAUUCUGUGUUGCAGUUUUUUCGUUUCCCUCUAGGUGAUCCGGACAGGCUGGACAAGUGGGUCGUCAGCAUGAGGAGACAGAACUGGACCCUGCUCUCCAGCCCCAAUCCUCCCUGUGCUUUCAAUAAAAUCUGUAUUGUGCGUGAA